rnacentral:lncRNA from 1 species
CACAAAUUCUUUCAUAGGGUUUAUUCAUUGCAUAAUAUUGCAUGUAGCAGCAACGAAUAUUUGGCUUAAGCAGAGGAACUACAGACGUGGCCAACUGAAUACCUACUCGCUGUAAGGAAGGAAACUGCUUCUUACGGUUUGCUGCUUGUGUGCUUAGCUGGUGCAAUUAGAUCAGAGACAGCUACGGAAGGAAGAAGUUUAGAGUGGCUCAAUCAAAUCAUGAAACUAGGCAAGUGGAAAAUUGCAUUUUGUUGCUUUGAAUUAGGUAAGCUAUUACCU